UCACGGUGGCCAGGUAGAGGAACUUCCCGCCCUCCAGCGGGAGGUAGGUGAUGUCGCCGACGUACUUGGUGUUCGGUUCGCCGGCUGUGAA
rnacentral:tRNA from 1 species